rnacentral:rRNA from 1 species
GUGUCAGCAGCCGCGGUAAUACGGAGGGUGCAAGCGUUGUUCGGAAUUAUUGGGCGUAAAGCGCGUGUAGGCGGCCCAUUAAGUCAGAUGUGAAAGCCCUUAGCUCAACUAAGGAAUUGCAUCUGAAACUGAUGGGCUUGAGUACGGGAGAGGAGAGUAGAAUUCCCAGUGUAGAGGUGAAAUUCGUAGAUAUUGGGAGGAACACCGGUGGCGAAGGCGGCUCUCUGGACCGAUACUGACGCUGAGACGCGAAAGCGUGGGGAGCAAACAGGAUUAGAUACCCUGGUAGUCCACGCCGUAAACGAUGAGAACUAGGUGUAGCGGGUAUUGACCCCUGCUGUGCCGAAGCUAACGCAUUAAGUUCUCCGCCUGGGGAGUACGGCCGCAAGGCUAAAACUUAAAGGAAUUGACGGGG